rnacentral:rRNA from 1 species
UACAGAGGGUGCAAGCGUUACUCGGAAUUACUGGGCGUAAAGAGUGUGUAGGCGGUGUUCUAAGUUUGGUGUGAAAUCUCCCGGCUCAACUGGGAGGGUGCGCCGAAAACUGGAAUGCUAGAGUAUGGGAGAGGUAAGCGGAAUUCCUGGUGUAGCGGUGAAAUGCGUAGAUAUCAGGAGGAACACCUGUGGUGUAGACAGCUUACUGGACCAUCACUGACGCUGAGACACGAAAGCGUGGGUAGCAAACAGG